AGGCCAUGGUGGGGCAAGGCCAUGAGACAAUGGAAGACCAACAAAGAGAAGGUUACAGUAAUCAAGGCAAGAGAGGUCUGGGGUGUGCGUCACACUUCUUGACAAUGAGAUAGAGAGGAAGGGUUGCAUUUUUAUAAUAAUGUAAAGAGAGAAGCAAUGAAAAUAAUGUAAAGAGCGAAGGACUGUAGCAGGGGAAUGAGGCAGCAAAGGAGACCGGGCUACAUGCCUGAUAGGGCAGAUGGUGACAUUGUCAAUGGUUAAGGUAAAUAAAUGCAGAAAGGAGAGCUUGGGAGGAAAGAUGAGGAGAUCUGUCUUGACAUUUUGAAUUUCGGAUGCUGAUGAAGCAUUCAAACAGAAGUACCUGAGAAGCACUAGGAGAUGCAAGAUUGGAUGGAAAGAGAAGGUUCUGCAGUGGAGAACUAGAGACUGGUAUAAUCUGGUAAUAUACAAAAUGUGUGGAAGGAAAAAUGGGACCUGCAAACCUUAAUGCAGUGUAUCAUAUUAUAUUUGGAAUGUUGUAUGGGGAUCUUCAUGAAAUCUGAUAUUACAUUCAAGAUCAUGGUAUUGCUAGUUUAAUUUCCCUUAUAUGGCAAAUGAUAUAAUUUUUCCAUAUUAGGAUACACCCAUUGUAUACCAUCACAACUGAGUUGUAGCAUAAUAAGCCUUUGUUAGACGGUCUCCAGCUUUCAAAAAGGCUAGUGAUGACACUUCAGUUCACAAGCUCUGAAAGGCCCAUCAAGGACAGGGGGGUGCUCUAGCUGUUAGCAGCUCAAAGGGGAAGAGCAAGAAGAGACAUGGCAAGAUUCAUACCCAGCAAGAGAAGCUUGACCCAUUGCCGUCGCCGGAGGCAACAAAGAGGAAGUCAACAUGGAGGUGGAUCUGGAAGGAGAAGGCGGCAGCAGCAUGACAGAAGGAGAAAAGGUCGCAGAUCUCAUGAGAAUAGGAGGAGGAGGACAUGAAUAAACUCUACCUUCAAGGUCUCCUUCACUCUUGAUCUGAAAAGCUGACCUCUCUCUGCCAGACAAAAGUGAAAUGAAGCAAAUUUCUUGCAUCAGAACAUCCAAGAUGCCUUCCCAGGAAUCCAAAAACUUGAAUUGAACAAGGCCACCUGUCAAUAAAUGCAACCAUUUCAUUUCUGUA